CUCUUGUUCCUCCUCCUGCCUCUCUUCGCUUCGCCUGCAAACGCGGUGGGGCUGCUCGGCGGUCAGGAGCAGGUUACCCUCCGUCUGCAUGCCCACCAUCAAGGUAUGAGGAUGGUAGAAGCUCUCGUCGAACCAGAUGGAUGAAGACCACUAACGGCUUUUUUUCCUCUGGUAACAGCAAGAGACAGAGCGACAUGAGAGAUUGGACCGCGGGCUGCACUGGAGAAUUUACUGGUAGGAUAAUUCAUCCCUAAAGAGAUUGAAGUGAGCUUCAGAAUGGCAAAAGAGGAGCCCCAGAGUAUCUCAAGGGACUUGCAGGAACUGCAGAAGAAGCUGUCUCUGCUGAUAGACUCCUUCCAGAAUAACUCAAAGGUGGUGGCCUUUAUGAAGUCUCCAGUGGGUCAGUACUUGGACAGCCAUCCGUUUCUGGCCUUCACCUUGCUGGUGUUCAUUGUCAUGUCGGCCGUUCCUGUUGGAUUCUUCCUGCUCAUCCUGGUGCUUACCACCCUGGCUGCUCUGCUGGGGGUCAUAAUAUUGGAAGUACUGCCUUGGCUGACUCCUCGAGGGGAUCCCUUUGGA
rnacentral:sRNA from 1 species